UCUUAACUUAAGAGGCAACUCUUAACUGGCCAUCCAGGGAAAAGUCGAGAGACCUAAGCCUGGAGGGCAGAAAACCCUGCAAAGUAGUGCUAAACAUGUGGGGUGGCCGGUUCGGCGGUAGCAACUUCAACGACGGACCUA
rnacentral:ncRNA from 1 species